CGUGUAGGCGGUAGUGCAAGUCUGGUGUGAAAAAUCCCGGCUCAACCGGGGGGCCGCGCUGGAAACUGUGCUACUAGAGUUUAGGAGGGGGAGCUGGAAUUCCUGGUGUAGGGGUGAAAUCUGUAGAGAUCAGGAAGAACACCGGAGGCGAAGGCGAGCUCCUGGCCAUAGACUGACGCUGAGGCGCGAAAGCGUGGGGAGCGAACA
rnacentral:rRNA from 1 species